rnacentral:misc_RNA from 1 species
AAGUCGUAACAAGGUUUCCGUAGGUGAACCUGCGGAAGGAUCAUUAACACGUUUCGUUCCGAACGUUUUGACCCAUCCUAUUUUCCGUGCACCCCUCGCGUCCGGCCUCCCAGCCGCCUACCGGGUUUACUCGGUGUGGCCUGUUGGGCGUCUUCGGGAUCCAAGGCGGUUUUGGGAUUUCCUUCGGGAUUUCCUAUCUCUGUCUCCUGAAGGCGUUGCCACCUCACCCAAACCCUUAAAUCUAACUGAUCUGAACUUUUAGUUGACGCGAUGCAGUUUCUCUCGGGAGACUAAUUCGUUGCAACGACUUACAAACAAAAAACAACUCUUAACAACGGAUAUCUUGGUUCUC